GUGGGGAGCAACCUCAGCUUCCUCUCCUGCUCUGAAUCUGUCAGAGUGCAGGGAGACAGGAGGCGCCACAAGGGGCCUUUUGUCAUAUAAGCAUAUAUACUCAAUCAAAACAGCCCUUUUAGUGAAUAAAAUACUUUUUUUUAGAGCUUUGAUGGGUGAAGCUGAUGUGGUUUGUGCAUGAUGGUUUAGUCUGCUUUAUAGGUCUUCAAGGACUGGUAGCAGGCCUAGCAGAGUCAGGCUGUCUGCAGCUUUCCAGCUGCUCCUCCUGAGCCAGAGUGGAGAGUCCCCCUCACCCCCGCUGCAAAGACACAGACAAAAGGCCUGGUUUGCCUGCUGAACACUGCCCCCUGUCUCCAUCCGUCCCUUCAUGCACGACCGUAGUGACGGCGGCAGGGUAUUCUGGACAGAACAAGGCCUGGACUGGGACUAGGAAAAAAAAAAAAAA